rnacentral:misc_RNA from 1 species
GCAAAAGUCGUAACACGGUUUCCGUAGGUGAACCUGCGGAAGGAUCAUUCACACGUAUAAAGCAUGAAAGCAGGAAGAGACAUAUUUCUUUUAUUUGAUCUCCUCCUAUAUCCUUCUUGAGAGAUCUGCGUUUACGCGGCUUGAUCAAGUUUGGUGGUGGUUGGUCAAUAGAAGAGGUGUCUUUUUGACUGGUCUUUUCAGGCUUAUUAUGGGAUAAUAUUCAACCACAACCUGUAAAUCUCUUUUUCCUCUCUCACAACAACGAGUUUUCUGUAGAUUGCAAUUGAUGCAAGUGUAUUCUGUACGCUACAGAAUAUAAAGGUACAAAAAGAAAAAAAAAACUUUCA